UUUCAGGUGGCUCAGAUGGUAAAGAAUCCACCUGCAAUGUGGGAGACCAGGGUUCGAUCCCUGGCUUGGGAA
rnacentral:tRNA from 1 species